rnacentral:rRNA from 1 species
AUUGAACGCUGGCGGCAUGCUUUACACAUGCAAGUCGAACGGUAACAGAGAAGCUUGCUUCUGCUGACGAGUGGCGAACGGGUGAGUAAUGCAUCGGAACGUACCGAGUAAUGGGGGAUAACCAUCCGAAAGGAUGGCUAAUACCGCAUACGAUCUCAGGAUGAAAGUGGGGGACCUUCGGGCCUCACGUUAUUCGAGCGGCCGAUGCCUGAUUAGCUAGUUGGUAGGGUAAAAGCCUACCAAGGCAUUGAUCAGUAGCGGGUCUGAGAGGAUGAUCCGCCACACUGGGACUGAGACACGGCCCAGACUCCUACGGGAGGCAGCAGUGGGGAAUUUUGGACAAUGGGGGCAACCCUGAUCCAGCCAUGCCGCGUGUCUGAAGAAGGCCUCCGGGUUGUAAAGGACUUUUGUUAGGGAGGAACAUUUACCCAUUAAUACCGGGUAAAGCUGACGGUACCACCAGAGGAAGCACCGGCUAACUCCGUGCCAGCAGCCGCAGUAAUAC